GACGAACGCUGGCGGCGUGCCUAAUACAUGCAAGUCGAGCGCACAGUUGAGGAGCUUGCUCCUCUUUCGUUAUCGUUGGUCGGCUUUGUAACACGUGGAUAACCUACCUGUAACACUGGGAUAACUUCGGGUAACGGGGGGUAUUACCGGUGAAUACAUUUACCCACAUGGCUCAAUAGUUAAAGACGCUUGUGCUGUCGCUGAUAGAUGGAUCCGGGCUGCAUUAGUUAGUUGGUAAGGUAACGGCUUACCAAGGCAGCGAUGCAUAGCCGACCUGAGAGGGUGAUCGGCCACACUGGAACUGAGACACGGCCCAGACUCCUACGGGAGGCAGCAGUAGGGAAUCUUCCGCAAUGGACGAAAGCCUGACGGAGCAACGCCGCGUGAGUGAUGAAGGUUUUCGGAUCGUAAAACUCUGUUGUUGGGGAAGAACGUAUGUGUUAGUAACUAUGCAGGUAGUGACGGUACCUAAUCAGAAAGCCACGGCUAACUACGUG
rnacentral:rRNA from 1 species